CACAGAGUGGUAUGAAAUCAGAACCAGCAGUGACUUUUUACUGCAGGAAUGUAGAGGUUCCCAGAAAGAAGAAUUAAAAACUGAUGGCUGGUGGGCAGAGAUGCAAGAGGGAAGAAAUGAGCAAAUUGUGUCCUUUUGUAUCAGUCUAUCAGUAAAUCCCUCCAUCCAUCCUUGAGAUCCAGCGGGCUGAGCCAGCCUAUUGAGGCAGAGAGAAAGGCAGGGGAAGACUUUCAAUCAGCAGCAGUUGUCCUGAGAUGACUGGUGCCAGACUGGGGCGAGGAAAGAAAGAACAAAAGAAAGAAAGGA